AUAGCAUCGAGUCUGUCAGAUAAAGGAAGCCGGUCAAAAGCCGACGCUGCCCCGCAACUGUAGACGGAACGAAACCCCAUAAAGAAGUGAUUAGUGGACAGUGAAUAGUGAUUAGUAAGACUAUCACUAACAUUUUCACUUAACACUGGUCACUGUUCACUGAACAUCGGCCACUGGACUAAACAGUUGUUUCCUGACCACUAAACACUGGUCACUGACAACUGCUUUUCUGGGAAGGUAUGGGGAUCAGGCAUAACCGUAAGCCAGGAUACUUGUCUGACAGAUCAAACAGAC
rnacentral:ncRNA from 2 species